UUGUUUUGAGGAAGCUGCGUGUGAAUGCUCUUGGAGGUAGAAAAAUACAUGGAUCAGCGGAGCCAUUCCUGGAUCCUAAGGACCGUGGACUCUCCGGAGAGAGCAUCCUUCCCCAGUUUGAAGAGUGUAUUGUCAAGUGUGUAUAUCAGAGGGCCUGCAGAUGAUACAAGGAAUUUUCCUCGGGGUUCCUACACCUCAGAGAGAAAACAGUUCUAGGUCCUGACGCCCAUCCUGGAUGACACGCUUGCAGCUCUGGUGAUUUCACAGGCCAAACACACAGAGCACGCGUGAACGUGAGGCCCCGGCCACACACCUGCCCAGUCUGACCAAGAACCUGACCCCAUGCUGCAGCAACAGAGUGCCCAAGUUCAGACGUCCCGGUGACGCACCAUGCCAAUUGUCGAUAAGUUGAAAGAAGCCCUGAAGCCUGGCCGCAAGGACUCGGCUGACGAUGGAGACCUGGGGAAGCUUCUGGCCUCAUCUGCCAAGAAGGUCCUUUUACAGAAGAUUGAGUUCGAGCCAGCCACCAAGAGCUUCUCUUAUCAGCUGGAGUCAUUGAAGAGCAAAUAUGUGUUGUUGAACCCCAAAUCGGAGGGAGCCAGUCGCCACCGGAGCGGAGAUGAAACGCAGGCCAGGAGACAGGGUACAGACGCCUAGUUUGCUGGCAGAAAGGGCCUCGCCCUGUGUUGCCCAAGUGGAUGAUGAAGCGUUGACUGAUGAGUAGGAACCAAACCAGAAUGUGGUC